CUUUUGCAAAAAAAGAAAUCUCUUUUUACACAGCUCAAAACACCUACAUACUUUUUAUUUUUAACAAUGUCCAAGAUUUAUGCAACAGAUGCAGCUUAUUGAAGGGAUAUAGCUAAGAGGCAGAUAGAGGGUUCACAGGAAAGGAUCUAAAGUAAAUAAUACCAAAUCUUUCUUCUUCAAAAUUAAUUAAGAUCCUGAUGUCACUUAUUGGUCCAAUCAAAUAAACUUUUUACAGUAUCUUCUCUUUUAACUUCACAUCUCAUUCAACUGCCAUUGUACAUCAAACUUGGUAUCUCAGUAAGUUAUAAUAUCCCACUUUUAUCCCACAUUAGACACCAGCCUCAAGACAUUCCCAGUUCUACCAUAUCAAUCUCCUAGUCCCAAAUCAAUUGUCUGCUUUUACAUUAAACUUUUUAAGACAGACUAUUCUCCCAAUUCUUUCUCAGAGUACUUGAUGAUCACAGCGUCCUAAUAUCAGAAGCGACUUUUCUUGUUAAGUAAAUGACAUAUGUUAAAUUAGAAGAGGAUUAAGAAUAUCUUUAACUGUACUCAUUUUUUUGCUCCAAGAGGAAAUUAACCUGAACAAAAUACUCAAAUUUGACUUGUAUAUAUGGCAGUAUGGAAGCAGCUUUAAGCUAUGCACAGUGAGUGAGAUAAAAGUGACUGCAAUCACAUAAGUAUAAAUAUAUUUCAAAUUGUCUACGUAAAACAUAUCUAAGUGCUUUUGAAGUGCUUUUGAAAAGAAUUUCUAGGCCAUAUUUACAGUGUUUGGUCUUGACAACCUUAAAAACUUCCAAAACAGUACAGGUUAAUUUAUCUGUUAAUUCUGUGCUAAUAUUUCUUAGGUUUUAAGAGGGUGAUUCAAGUAAUUCAAGGAGGGUAGUUAUCUCUUUCAAGCAAAAUAUCAGGACAGCUAAUAUCAUAAUUCCACAGUAAUUUGUGUUAGCUGUAGAUACAUAUAACAAAUGUGCAUUAAUAUAAUAACCAAAGUUACUGUGGAUUUACUGUAAACACAUCUUGUAAAACUAUCUGCUCUUUCAGUUUUAUGAUAUUUCAAAUGUUAUUGAUAAAGAUGACAUAAAAACUAUUUUUAUAUAUGUUGAGAUUUGUAUAACAUUCCAAGAAAGAUGAUAAAAUGAUGAACAGUCAGCAUGCUAUAUGUUUUACUAACUAUUGAGGCAACCUGUGAAAGACCGUAAUGAAUUCUCUAACAUUGUGUAUAUUUAAAGUCAAGAAUGUAUUAAAAAUGUAUGCUCCAUUUUAAUAUACUCCAUUUUAAUCACAUUUACUUAGACAUAAUGUACUACUGUCUCACUCCAAUUUAUAGGAGGGAGAGGAGGUUCUUUGAAAUAUGUAUGCCCGGCGUGAGAUUAAGAAACAACGGUUCAAAUGUUGGUCCGACCAGUUUAUUACAUAUGUUAAUAAGGGAGAUGAAGAAAGGGGAGGACGGACACUAUUAUGGAUUGGGGUGAUGGGAAAGGGAAGGCGAGCGAUAGAAAAGAUAGAAAGAAGCAAGAAUUGCAUAAAGCGGGGAUAGUCACCACCAGCAGUAGUCCUGUUGCACGAUGUUCUGAUGGUCCGAGGCUGAAGGGCAGGAGCAGCGAGGCCGGUCUUGGGCAACGAGAGGGUGCAGGUACCGGGUGGGUCCAGGAAGAAGCCGCAGAGUAAGUCUGGGAGGAAGCAGCAGGUCUCAGGUAGCAGGCCCAGGGAAGUCCAUCAGCAUAUGGUCCGUAGUGAAGGAUCUGAUGGCAGAAACCUUGAGUCCGUCGUGGUGAGGGAUCUGAUGGCAGAAACCCUCUCCUCAUGGUUGUUAGACCCUCUUUUAUCCUCCUCUUUUUCCUGCCUACGUGACAUCCCUGGGUGCUUGAGCAAGAGUCAUGUGCGUAGCUCCUGAGAUGGCCAUCUUCUUCUAGAUAAGUCCACACAAAAGACCAUUUCUCAGCCAUUAUCAGCAGCUUAUCCCUCUCUCGUUGCCCCUGGCCUCGUCCAUCUGUGCUCCUUAAAGGACUUCACAAUCCUUUAGCCAGGACCUGUCCAUCAGUGUCCUCCAGACAGAAGAUUUCUGUACCUUUGCCCAGGACUUGCCUGGACUUGUUCCUCAGCAAACUUUGAGUCAAUCAUAUAAAAGAAUAAUCUCUUACAACUACUCAAUUCAGUGAAGUCCUGUGGCCUGCAUUGUGCCACAUAUAAGAUUCAAUAACAGCGUUUCUUCUGGCUUUAUGACAUAUGAAUCCGUUAAUAUCUGUAGAUACUAAUUGAUGUAGAUACUAAUGUAUAUAUGUAGAUACUAAUUAGUAUCUGUAGAUACUACGUAAAACUAAGCAGUUUUAUGUCAGAUAAUUAAAGACUCACAUGACUUCAUUAAAACAGGCUAAAAAGUUAACGUAUUUCACUGUAAUAUUCUUUCUAAUGAACUCUUUAUGAAAGUAAAGGUAAUAAAUACAGUCUUCAGAAAGAUGAAACCUUGAGUGUACCUUCUCAAGUUACUUAGCUUCAGAAAAUAAGAACUGACUAAUUCAAAAGAUUAAUGGAGUAAUUUGUGUUCUGAUACUCUGAUAAUCUUAGUUUUAUCAUGAGUAACUAUUUCAAUUGCUUGAUUAGGAUUUCACUGUGUAUUUAGCUUUUCAUUAGAUCUUUCUCUACUCUCAAAUUACUUAUUAGAUAAGCAUUUAUUCAAUAAAUUCACCAGGAAAUUGCUAUAUUUCUAAGAUACAUACUCUAAUGACAUUAUGUUAUAAAUAUGUAAAGUGCAAAGCAUUUCUCACAAAGCAAAAGUGAACAAUUUUAUUCAAAUAUUUCCACAGAAUUUGUAUACAAUGUAUCCUUGACAAACUGAAGUUUAUUUUUAACUGAACAUUUGAAUGUUUCAAUAUAAACACUUUGAUAAUGCAGCCUAAAGAUGAUAAGAAAUUAAAGUUCAGUAAAUUCUAAUUAUAUGCUGAAUAAGGCUCAGCCAAGCCCCUCAAAUUAACACACUACUGUAGUGAAAUACUACAGCAGAGAAUUAAUCUUGUUAUCUUUUGACAAUGCUAGGGUAGAAAAGGAAUGUUGUCAUACUACUAAUUCUUUUGGUUUUCCAACUUUCACAUCUACUCACAUUCUCUCAGACACAGAAGAAAAAGCAUGUAUUAUUUUAACUUUUAUUUCUCUCUGGCAUUGAUCAUUUCCUUCUAACUUUGUGUAUUUAUAUAUUGGAUAUUGCUCAGAUAAUUGACCAGUAUCUAUGCUUGUGAAACAUCUAGUACUCUUAUUAGUAACAAAAAUAAAUAAAAUAAUUCCGUAUUAUAUAAUGAAUUGCUGCAAAAAGGCUAACUUUUCUAAUCUGAUUAUUCUUACCCAAAUUUGGAUGUCUGCAUUACGGUGUGUGAAUGUGUUCUAUCACAAUGAAUAAUAUUGUCACUGGGAUUGAUUUUCAGCUCCUCUGAAAACCUUAAUAUUGAUUGGAUCAAUAUUUAGUCAUAGAAUCAUAAAAUGGUUUGGAAGAGAACUUAAAUUCAUCUAGUUCUAAUUCCCUGCCAUAGCACAGUCACCUUCCAUGAGAUCAAGUUGCCAAGGGCUUCACUCAACCUACGUUUGAAUGCUCCCAGAGAUGGAGCAUCCACAGUUUCUAUGGACAAUUUAUUUCAGUAUCUCACUGUCCUCAUAGUGAAGAAUUUCUUUCUAAUAUCUAAUCUAGUUUAGUUGAAGGCAACUAUCCCUUGUCCUAUGACUAUGCUACCUGAUAAAGAGUCACUCUCCAGCUUUUCUGUAGGUUCACUUUGGGUAAUGAAAGGUAUUGAUAGCCCUUGAUUUCACUCACUGAGUUGAUUAAGUCUCCAAUGACAGCAAUGGAACUUAGACAUCUAUUUCAAAUAUUCCUACCUCCAGUUCAACAAGGUGAAUCCCACCCACAACACUUUUAAAAGAAGAAAUGCUGCUGUUAUAUUGACUUGAUAUUUUCAACAAUAUUUCUCAUGUUUUCUCAAUCACUCAUGAGUGAAUUUUACAGUUAGUAUUAUUUAAAUAAUAUUUCCUUAUCCGUUGGAAAAAUUCUCUGAGAGUACUCUGAUACAUUCACUGAUAUUACUUCAAACACUGUCUCCCUUCCACAUAUUGUAUCAAGGGUAUUACCUGAGUACUGCGGCAUUUUAUCAGUUUUCCCACUCCAGAAUGGACCAGCUAGCUAAUUUUGAGCUGAGACCCUUGUUCUGAAGGCUCUUCCUUUACAUGGCAGUAUUUUUCUGUGUCUUCUUCCAGUUCUGCUUUGUGAUUUUCAUGCUUUUUAAGCUUAAAAACUAAAACAGUUUAAAUUAUAUGACGUAAUUUAGAUGGAAAAGCUUUCAUUCCUGCCAAAUAGUUUUUCCAUAGUUAUCCAAUUUAAACAAAUAAAUAUUUCUCCAUUGAUUUUAAUCCUUUUCAUCCCUAUUAAUUACACAAAUGCAAAUUAUGAGUAAUCAAACUAUGUUAUUUUUUGCACAGCUUUGUCAAGGUAGAAGUAAAAAUAAAUGAACAAAAGUGCAUUCAUAUGAAUAAAUAUACAUGUAAAAGAUGGAGACAGAGAAUUAGUUCUUUUGCAGCUUAUUUGUCUUUAAUAAUAGAAAUGAAUUUAACCUAAAUCUUCAUAGCGGGAAACAAAUUACAGUACAGAAUGGACAGAUGCAGUCAGUGAGGCAUUUUUUGCUUUGGUUUUGUGUGCCUUUUUCCCAAAGUAAGGAUGAAAUAGCUUUUUUGUUUGUUUGUUUUUUGUUUUUUGUUUUUCCCAUUGAAAAAGAAUAGAUACUUGCCUUCUUCUUGGUACAUACUCUCAGCCCAUUUAUACAGAGAUUUGCUAUGUAGUAGCUGGCUUUUGUGAAUUCAUUUACUGGUUUCCUUUUUGUUACAAAUUUGGCUUCUUCACAUGUAUUUAUUUAAGUGAUACUAUUUUUUUAAUCUUUGCUGCUACCAAAGACAAUUUUCUAUCCUGUGAUCCAAAAAAAAAAAAAAAAAAAAAAUCAAUUUUAUACCUCAAAGUACAUAUAUAAAUGUAAAAUCAUAUUACACACAAGUAAAAUCAUAGUAUUAAAAAUAACAAUAAUUGCACAUCUUCUGAAAAUAUGAAAUCUCUGACUGUAAACUGCUAUAAUAAAAACUAAAUUAUUAUCACAACUAUUAUUCAGGCCUUUUUUUUUUUUUUUUUAAUUGCAGCUUUUUUAUUUUGUCCAAUAUUAUAAGUUAUUAAAUAUUGCAACUGUAUCUCUGUUCUGGUUAUAUCAAUAUUCCAUAUCGUAAUAUCAUGCAACAGGCUGUUGGACGCAGAGUGCACAGUGCACUGCGGAGAUGUGUUUCCUGUUUAUCUCUAGCAAUCUCAUGUGAGUUCUGACUCCCCCAGGCAAAGAUGCACUGGGAUGUACUGAAUUUUCCAGCAGCCUCCACAUGGUUCCAAUUCUGGGUUACAAGGGAAGAACUCUCUUGUCUUUUACAGGAAGCAAACAGUGGAGGGCCUGCUGAUAAAGAUUUGGAUGGACUCUCUCUCUCUCCUCCAGUUUUAUUUUUGGUUUGUUUUGAUUUAUUACUCUUAUUUAUUCUCUAUUAUCUCACAUUCCUUUUAAUAAAUUAAUUUCUGCUACCUCAAUUGGAUUUUUUCCUUCCCCAGCACCUUUCUCCCAGGGGAAUGGAGCAGUACUGCAUGAUUAACUUUUCAAACAGCAACAGUGUCUCAAUACAAACGGAGGUAAUAGUGAUGCCCUAUAGAAGUGUUACAAAAUGCCAUGAAGCAUUUUUUAUCACAAAUAUAAGUGUGAAUUUAAAUUAUAUUUUCAAGAGUAUUACUGCAAAUCUAUCACAACUUAGUGUUUCCCAGUUCAAAACAAUACUUAACUUUUUGUUGUUGUUGUUGUUCCAAUAUUGUAUGUUUUUACAAAUACGGGGCAGACAAAUAUUUAUUGUAAGAGCUGUAACAAUCUUAAGGAAUUUCUGAUAGUAGGUCCGAAUAAUUAUAAACUUCACUUUUUAGUGACACUUCAGAGCUUUCAAUACACUAACUGACAUAAAUUCAAUUUUUUAGCAGUAAAAAGAAAAUGACUAUAACUAUUCCAGCUCUUUUUAUAUUGUAUAUUAAUGUGUUAUGAGAUAUGGAAAGUGUAUUUAGUAAUUAUGAGUAUCAAUGUGCACCAUCUGCAUUUGCAAUAUCCAUUUUUGUUUGUUUGUUUGUUUUUGUUUUCCAUAAGUACUUAUGGUUAAAUAAAAUAAAAUCUUUGUUUUAUUAUUUCUUCUUCUUUUUUAGUUUUCAAGAAAACGUGCUGCUGUCAUUCUAUUUUCAGUUCACAGAUUUGGAAAAUUAUGUAUUCUUUGUCCACAAGUUAUUUGACUUUGCACAGGAUGAAAACAAGACUUGAAAUCAUACACUUCAGUAUUGAAAAAUUCUACACCAUUUUCUUCACCUAAACAUUAGCUGCACAAGAGAAUAUUUUUAAUUUAAAAAAUGAUGAGUAUCUUUUAUGAUAAAAUUACUAUGAUAUUAUUUCUCUUUCUACACAGUUUUUCAAUUUAGUAUUUGAAAAUGAAGCUGCAAAACAAAGCUACAGAAAUCUAUUUCUCUUCAAGGACUUAAUAUCUAUUAAAGAAACAUUCCAGAGAAACAGUUGUCUAAAAGUAACUAAGGGGUCUUACCUAACAUUCUUACAGUCAUGCAGGCCUCAGUGUUGCAUUGUGUUGUUCAUAUUUAAACUUCAGCUCAUUUGACUACCAUCCUAUGUGUCUUCAUACAAGUUCAUCUCAUUUCUCAGAGUAUUCAGAUUCUUAUCAAUCUGGUAUAAUUAAAAACAUUUGGUGCAUGGGGAUGAGAGAAUAAUUGUGGAAUUUGUAUGGGCAAUUAUCAAGAACUCAGUACCAAGGAAACAACUAUUCUUCAUUUUUCACUGGCAACUUCCUGGUAAUUACCCUCCCAAAGACUCUCCAGAAAUGCAGGAAGUUUUUCUUUUCAAGUUAGUUACUUAAAAAAAAAAAAAAAAAAAAAAAAAAAACCUACAAAAAACUACCAUAAUGGAGUAGUGAUGAUCACAUCUAAAAGCAUUCCCACUGACUCUUCCUAUGAAUACUUGAAACAGAAAACAUGCUUGGGGUUGGCUGAGCCUCGCUAGGAAAUUUUCCAGUCUGUGAGAAAAUAGAUAACCUGUUCAAACAGCUAUCAAAUAGUUAUAAAAGAAUACACAAACUUUUAGAAGCAAUGGAACAAGAGGAUGAGUGAAAAACAACCAGUGUGUAUCAGAUCAAGAAGACACCUCUGGUUAAAGUAAUAAAGUAUUAAUUAUUAAUUAAUUAUUAAUUAAAAUUAAAGUAAUAUGUUUUGUUUAGCCAUAUUUUUAUUUAGCCAUAAGACUCACUGAUUUUGCUUUCUAGUUGCAAAGAAAAAAAACCAAAGUCAUUCUGACAAAUUGUAUUAAAACAGUAGUUAGCAAUAUAUCUUCCACAGAACAUUCAAGUCUCCUCAGAAAGCCAUAAGGACAAUGAUGGACUUAAUACAUACGCUGCAAUAAAAUUUCUACUUCAAACUGACUGUCUGAAUUGCGAGGCUCAUGGAGAUUUCUACUUAAAAUUAUUCUACAAAACAGGAUGUAAGAACAGAGGCAUAGAAAUUAUGAAAAUAACUUCUGUUAUUUUUUACAGGCUUUAAAGGACUUAUAAAUUCCUUAAGGGACCUUGUGUAAUCUGAGGGAUUGCUAGACUUCGAGAAAGAACACAUAUUGCUACUAUGAACUUUGACAGCUAAAAUACCCGUAUAAAAGGGAAGUCCAAAUCGUACAGAACCAUUGCCUCCUCUUAAGCAGAACAACUCAUGCAAAACAAACAAACAAAGAAUUAAAGAAAGAAUCAGCUCUUGGUUUUCAUAGAAGAAUGGUUUUAUUGACUAUAAUGAUGAAUAACAAUGCUUUCCCCUAUAGAUCUGUUUAAAAUUUUGGAAGAAUGGAAGAACAAGAACAGGAUAUUUUCCUUGUUUUAAAAAAUUCUCCUGCAUUUUUGUAUGCUAUUGCAGACUGUUAUCCUUAACAGACUGGCAUACAAUACAGCACUGAAAAUUAUGAUCAAGGAAACAUUAUGUUUUAAGUUUAAGUUUCUUCCAUUAUGGAUUUUAUUUGUUGUCUUCAAGGUUUCAUUUGACAUCUAUUAGCCAAAAAGCCUUUGCAUACUCUCAUCAGUUUCAGGAAGAUGAUGUUGUCAGGAAUUUCGGUUGAUUUAUUUUCCUCUGUUGGCAGGAUGGUAAUAUCUUGGUAUAUCGUUGUGCUGCCUAUCAUAAUUUUUCCAUUAUAAGACACAGUUUUCAGUUGCUUAGAGCUUUGCCAAACUUCAUUUGUUUAUAUUGAAAUUUGUCCUGCUGAGUUUUUGCUCAAGGCCAAAUUAUCUUGGAAAGUUUAAAUGAAAAUAAUAUGUUCUUUUCCAAGAAUGAUAUGUAAAAAAAUCUAUGUGAGUAUGUGUGUGUGUGUAUACAGAGAGAAAGGAGAAAAGGGGGAGACCUUGAAUUCUGAUAUGCAUUCUGUUAAAAAAUUUUGAUUCCUGACAUCUCAAAGAAAGGUGGUACCUUGAUAAGAUUCUUUUUUUUCUGGUUUAGAUACUAAAAAAAAAUAAUUACGAUUUUUUUUUUUUUUUCCAGGCAGACUCAUGUUUUUGUGUCUUAAAUUAGCUUGGUUGGCACAAGGUGGUCAAAAAUGACCAAAGAAGUGCAUCCCAGAAUGUCUGUCCUCUCCUUUGUUAGUUUAGUAAUUAUUGAAAGGCAAAGGGCAAGAAUAUUAACUUAGACAGAAUACCUUUUUACCUUUACAACUUAUCUUUGCAACAGUUUGGUUCUGGAAAAUUUUGCCUAUUCUAAAAAACAAAGCAAAAUAACACUUUUGCCUACUUGAUAGUUUGUAUUAAUCAUACCCACAGAACCACAGGUUUAAAAACUUUUCAGUAUUCUUAAGUCAUAAUCCUCCCUUCCAUUUUUUUUUCUUAGUAUGCUGCAUCUUUUAAAUAUGUGCUUUGCUUCUUUGUCAUCUGGCUCUGUCCCAUGUUGAAAUUGUUCCCUGCUGUUAAUUAGAGGUGACUAUGGUUUGAUUAAUCUCAAACAUGUGUUAUGUGUGCACAAUAUGGAAAACCGUAUUCUAUAUUUUUCUACUUAAAACAUGCUUGGAUGUAAUGGAAAUAAGCCAAACAAUUUUUAAUGACUCAGGACCUAAUCUUAUCACAAUGAACAAUAUGGAUAUGAUCAAAAUAAGACAUUCUAAUCCAUCUGAAGUGUUAAAAGUUCACAGAAAUAUGCACUAAUCAUGUACAGUAUUUCUCAAUAUAAUACAAACAGGAUUUCAAAUAAAUCAGCGCUUACCAUCUGAGCAUCAUUGCUGUGUGUAAGUCUUAAGUUCUUUACUUCUUCUUCCAUUUCCACAAAGUUUUGUCUCAGUCUGACAAUUUGACUUUCCUGGUCCCACAUUCUUGGCGUGAUUCCCAUUUAAGCUUUUCUGGAGGCAUUACUCACAUUUUUCAGACCUAAGGAGUUAGGAGACAAUGACUAUAAUGUUUCCAUUCUGUUUUAUAUAGCUCUUGUUCUUGAAAGACCCUUAAGAACUAGAGUAAAAAUGUAAGCAUGCAAAUAAUUUAAUUUAUUAUGCCAGGAUUAUUCUUUCACUUAAAUCACAUUUUGAAGUUAAUAACUAUACUGGUUACAUGAUUUAAGUUCCCUAUGUAAGGAAAAUUAAGCAUGUGAUUAAAUGUUUUCUGAGUUUAUAAGCAUCUUUACAGAUCACUCAUAGGGAGAAAAGUUGUGAAUACCUUAUAUCACAUCACUGUAAGUGCCCUACGCACUUCCAUUAAAAUAAAAACAUUGUGACUAUUAAUGGAAGUUAUAUAAGAGAUUUCCUCAGGCAAUUCAGAAGAUAUUAUUUUAAACAAGUUAAAUCUAACAAUAUUAAUUUUUUAAAAUUAUUGCUAUUUAAUUUGCUGUUUCUUCUUUUUUUUCUUUUUUCUUUUUUUUUUUUCCUCUUUUUGUGCUGAACUUUGUUAUUACAAUUAUUAUUACACAGCCUCCAGUGGUAAAUGAAAAAUAAUUGUAAUUAAUUUUUCCUAUAGAUAUGUACAAAUCAAUAACUAUAAGCACCCCAAAGGAAAAAUACGGUGAAUGGUCCUCCAAGUUCCUAAUGAAUGCAAAGAAGCUGACCUUUCUCUAACAACUGUGAAUAUUGUUUCACAAAUUUGCUAUUGAAAUUGCUGUAAUCAGCAAUUCCUACUGUAAAUAUGGAGCCAAUACUAGUUGUAAAUAAUUAUUCAUUACAAGAAGGUAUACUAUAGGUUUACAAUAGUGAAGAAACUUUAUGCUUUUGGGACUCAGUUUUCUACUAUAUUUUGCUGAACUGGGUGUUCAUAGAAAAUAUGAAUACUAUAUCUACUUUAUAUAUAUAUUUCUGAAAUACUCGAAAUUGUGUGUGUGUGUGUAUUAUUGUUUCAAAUACAAAUACCUAGGUCACUAAAAAAAUAAUUCUUUGUAUCUAUUUCCAUGGAAACUACAAGAAAUACAUAGAGUACAACAACACUACUUGAUAUUUGAUCACUACUUGAUACAGCAAAUUCUCAGCUACAAAACAUUAUUUUACAAGAUAGUUACCGUGAUGAACUAUGCAUUUUUGUCUGCAAUGAACUAUAGCCUGCAUGCUGUGCUCAUAAAAAUCUGCACCAGAGGAAGUGACACACUGUCACCAUUGCUGAAAAACACCACCCACCACCUGACUGUGCUCACAUUCACUGUUGGGUCUCGAGAAACAUUCAGCAAGUGCCAGUGAAUGUCAGUGGGUGCCAUUUUUUCCACAUGGAGGAAUUCAAUGACAUACAUUUACUUCAUAUGCACUUCCAGGUCACGUGUCAUGUUGACAGACUGCCCGCUCUGUUGCCAUCUGUCACAGGGCAACAAAACGUAACAGAAUAUUGGUGGGAAAGUUCAACAUCUACUGUCAUACCACCCACAUUUGUGUCUGAUGUUGUUGGCCAACAUAAAAAAAACAAAGGCAUUACUUUCAGAGCAGCCCUGUAUUUUCAAACACUGAUAGUAAUAACUUUCUGGCAAGAAUACUUUUUUAUUAGUAAGAUGAUUGACCAGAAAUGAAACAAACAAACAAACAAAAACCUAGUAUUCUAUAUUUAUAAGGGGCAACAGUACAUGAAAAUUCAGCACUUCUCAUGAGAUAAUAUAAUACAAGUGUCAAUUGAUUCAAUAGAUAUAAGACAAUGAGCUACUGUAGUACUGCUACAUCUAGGAUUUUUUCCUCAUAAAUACGUCUCAAACAGUGCUGGAUGAAAGUUAUGUAGAACUGAAAGUGAUAGCACAUAUCUAUCUCUCUAUCUAUUUAUUUAUUUAUUUUAAUGAAAAGCCUGUAAAGGCUUAGGUGGAAUUGAAAUUUGGAGCAUUUGCAAUAGAUCCUUCCAGUUUCUAUAAUGCAAUAAAAAUAUCUACUAAAAUGUUAUUUAGAAAAAAAAAAAAAGGAAAUAGUAAUACUUAAAUGUGUUAAUUGCAUAUGCACGUGCCAGUUUAAUUAAUAAAUUAAUAUAUUUUAAAAUCUUUUUUUAAGACAAAAUUUACUGAUUUUUUCAAAGUAUUUUUAGUAAUAUUAUUCACUUUCUUUUUGUUAUUUUCAUGUUUUGUAAUAAUAGUUGAUUUAAUAAGAUUUCAGUGUUCUGAGAUCAUGAUAGAAUAUCAACUAAUGUCACUUUUUUGUAAUAUGUGUGAUAUUUUUAAAAGAAUAGUCCCUUCUUGAUGACAUUUCUUCAAGAUCUCUACUCUCAUACUUGUAAUUCUUUCAUGUUCAGAAUGAAUCCCUGCUACAUCUCACUCAAUAUUGAUCUUCAAGGCAUUUCUCCCAAUCCUUUUCCCAGUGUGGUCACUGAACAGUAUAAAGUUCAAUAGGAAGAUCAGCUACUCAUCCACUUUUUGCUAAAGCAAUUUGUAUUAUGGAUUUAUUUUAGCAGUCUACAGUGGCAGUUGCUGUUUUUACUAUUUAAAUGCUUUGAUUAUCUGACCUUGCUUACUUUAUCUUUUUAAGUGCUGUGCAUGGGCUUUAAAGUUGAUCAAUAAAUGGGGAUUCCUCCACCACAUUAUGUUGAAAUCAAUCCUGAUUCAGACUAUUUGUAUUUCACUCUUAUGACUCCAUCUGUCUUUCUUAAUUUUAUAUUCUCUUUUCUUAAAUAAUUUUGCCUGCCACUGUAAAUGCUUACUGUCAGGUAUAUUUCCGUUGCAAUCAAUUCAAUUUUUCCCAGUAGUAACUAUACUGCCUAGGAAGACAUAAAUGCGUAGGAUCAUAUUCUACUCUAGGAUGGUCAUCUGCUAUAUUAUUACUAUUAUUUCAGUAAUUUAUUUAUGUGUUUGUGUCAGAGGUACUAUGAAAUUCAAUAAACAUAAAUUUUCACUUCAACUCUUCAAUUCUGCAGUACUUUUAAAAAAGCAAAGAGUUCAUGUACAUUUCAUUUCUUAGCUAUACUUUUAUACUUUUAUGUUUAUGAUUUAUGUCUUAUGCAUUAAAAUCCCACUAAACAAUAUAAGUCAAUUAAAAUGGUUCAGAUAUUCCUUUUUUUUUUUUUUUUUUUUUUUUUAAAGGUGAAACAGGUAAAGUAAUGGAGCUAUCUGGCCUUUAUUUUUUCUACAAUUAAAUCAGACUUCUCGGGUCAAAUGCAAGAAAUAAAACUAGUUGUGAAUUUCUGCAAUUGCCCUUCCUGAAAAACAUUUUGCUAUAUAUGAUAUCUAACUUAUUUAAUAUAGAUAAAUAUCUUAAUUAUUUCAAUUAUUUUUUUCUAAUUUCUUAUAAAUUUUCAUUGCUUUAAUUCACGAUAAAAAGGUUUUUUUGUUUGUUUGUUUGUUUUAUAACUACAAGAAGCCUCAUCAUGCAUAUUUCCAAAUAGAAAAAAAAAUAGAAAAAUAAACAUGAAAUUGAGCAAUGAAGCUAACAUGCUGUUCACAGUGGUCUGACUACUAUGGUAGUUAUCUACUGAGAACAUAAAAAUCUUACUAACUUACUACUUUGUUCUCACUUAAACAUCUCUACAAACAUUCAGAAGAGGGAACAUGAUUUCUUCCUUCUUUAACUAAACCACAAGAGCAUGCACAUGCAUUCUCACAUGCACAAAUCACAUUCAUUUGGAUUUGUGUUAAAUGAAUCUGAAGUAAAAUGAUCAGUUGUUUCAUUUAUUUUCUACAAUCAUCAUGAUUUACAACAUAACUUCUAUAAUAAAGCAUUGCAACUACUAAAUAAAAUACUGAGUAAUCCUUAAUAUUAAAACAAUCUUCAUCUUAAAUCUUGCAAACUCAUGAACAGUUUUUCACAUGGUUAUAGAGUAAUUGGCUUCAUGAAACUGCUGACAUCUGUAUAUGUUUGAAAGACUGAGGUCUAGUAAGUCAUGAGGAUGUGAUAUUUCUUUUCUCAUAUUGCUGUACAAUGAAGUUUGUCCAUUAGAAAAAUAUAAUUCUAUGCACUCUUAACAAAUUUUCUCGUUAUUCAUCUGAUCGAGAAUGAUUCUGUUUCAAGGUUAUUUCAGGUCCAGUGGAUACUGAGGCCUUGAGUAGCACCUGUUCUCCAACUUUCUUUGAUCCUUUUAUUCUUACCUUAAAGUUCUCCACACAGUUUUCUGUUUUUUUAAGAGAAAUCAGGAUUUUUUCUGUAAGAGUUUAGACAACUGCAAACAAGAUGAACAUUCUGUCAUCUAUGCGAGUAUUUCUGCUUUGGUGUCUCCAUACAGUGCACACUGAGAUGUAUCUGAUGAGCGGGAGGACAAAAGGAAACAUGACCACAAAUAUCUUAAACAUUUAGAUACUUAGAAGACACUAGUAAUAAAAUAUCUCUAGGAAAAAUAAUAGAAUGACAGAAGUCUAAAUCAUAUUAGCACCAGUGGCAAUGUAUGUGAAUAUUUGUCCUAUUUUGUGAAAGCUGUUAUCAAACUUACAUUGCAAACAGCAUUCAAGUAAAAGUUACCAUGUAAAAUAACAACAACAACAACAACAAAGAAACAGUCAUUAGAUGAAAAAAAAAAUGAUAGAUUGAGAUUUUUACCAGCAAUUUUAUCAGCAUGAAAGAAUAGUGGCUUGGGCAUCUGAUUUAGAAUGCAAAUCAUACUGGGAAAAAAUCAAAAUAUGCAACAGUUCUUUACAAAAUGGCAAAAUGCCCCCCCCCCCCCCCCCUUUUUUUUUCUUUUCUGAAAACGAAUAACUUCAGAAAUGUGAAAUAAUGCUUUCUAAGACUAGUCUGUUUACUAUUUUGGUACAUAUUUUUACAUUGUUAAAUGAUAGAUUGAUAAUUAUAAUGAAAAACUGCCCUUUCUGUACUUUUACAAGGAAUUUUAUUUGACACAGGCUGUCACUCUUAAAAAUGAGUAUUUUUUAAUUCAUAGUUCACAUUUUCAGGGAAGCACUUAUUCUUCUCCAGUAACUAAUAAAAUCACCUAUUUAAUUAUGAGACAAACUCCAUUAAGCACUGCUGGAAUCUGUGGUGUGAGGAGGGUGGCAAUUUUUUUUGCCACAAUCUUAGCCCCUUAGAAAAUAAAAAUAAAAAAAAAGGUGGAUAAAAUUACUAGGAAGUAUGAAACAAUGGCGUCUAACAUAUGGAGUGGGCAGUUCAACUUGGGUGAUACUAAUAUCACUUCUUAAUAUUUUUCAUUUUAUUGCAACAGCGGAGGGUAAAUUUUGAAGAAUUCACUGUGUCAAGUGUUAUGCAUUUCUGCAGAGCGCAGCUUAAAAGAGACAACUCCAUACUGUUUCCCUCAGAUCCAACAAUGCAUAUUUUGCAAUUAACAUACCCACUUCUACACAAAAAAAGGUGAUUCACACAAAAGCCUGCUUAUAUGAUGUACGAACAAUAAACAGAAAGCUAUAAUCAUGUUUUUUCAGAUGUUUCCGGUGCACAACGAUUUUGGAUCAAUACCCUGUGUAAUACAAUUAUCUGCAAUGAUCUGGUUGUAUUGAAAAAGAAUUUGCAGCAGACCUCUAGGGGGUUUUAUCCAGAAACACGUAUCUGGCAAUGUUGUGAAUAGUGGAAGAGAAAAUUAAGGGGUUGACACAGGCUGUCUAUUAUGUUCCAAAUGACUUCAUUAAUAUUUUAUUUGCUAAAAGUAGUAUAUUUCAAAC
rnacentral:lncRNA from 1 species